rnacentral:lncRNA from 1 species
UUUACACUUUAGGCCAUGUGUCGAUGUGCUCUUUUCGUUCAUUUUCGAUUCAAUUAAGGACCAUAUACCCUCUUUUUGUAAGGCCAUAUGUCCUCUUUUCAUUACUUAACUAAAAAUGGAGAGAAAAGCCAUAAUGCCAUUUGAUUUAAAGUAUAAAAAGUAAACUGACAUAGUUCAAAGUGAUCGAAGGCUGUAAAGUAAAAUUUGGGUAAAAGUGAAAGGGUAAAAAGUGUACUUUAUCCUAAAUUUAAAUAUAGAGACACUAUCACAUAUUGACACUUGAUAAAUAAGAAAAUUCUAUAUGACCAAUUUUAAAGUACUCAGAAAAUUACCUAAAAAUAAGUUUAACAGUACAAAUGCCAAGUUAUUGUGAUGUGAGGUCAAAUCUGGUCCAUAAAUUUUUUUUUCUAAUUUGAUUUUUGAAAGCAUAUUAUUACUCUUGGCACUUUCCAAAUUUUAAAGUUGGGCAAACUAGAGCCAAAGUACAUAAUUAAUCACUCUGCUUGUGCAUGCAUCUCUUGACUUUCCUGAACCCAAAGAGGUCCCAUACACAUCUGUUUGGUGGGAAAUACAAUGAAGUGAAUGAACUAUCACAAUUGGCCCCAGCAUAAAUUUACACAGCAACGUUGUUUCCAAAACCAGCACUCUUUUGAGUCUUUUUCCUUGCUUUUAAUUUGCACUAAAGCGCCAAAAAUUUGGUCCACCGAGCACAAAAUUUCGCGAACUUACUAGUGAUUUGGAUAAUACAUUCAAAUUAAAUUAUAAUAAACACAUUGAUUCAAAUUUAUUUUGUCUUAAUUAUCUAGACACGCUAAACAAUUAUUUUUUUGUCACUUACACAUUCUCAACUAAAAAGGGGCAUUUACACCUCCUUAACUAUAAAAAAAUUAUCACUUUCAUCCAUUUUGUUAGUUUUUCGUAUAAAAUUCCGUUUAAACUUUGUCACAUGAUGCUCAUAUGACUGCUUAUAUAUUUUUUAUAACAAAUAUGUCAUUUGUUUUGGAUAAAAAAAACUAUGCCUAUUUUAUAUGGUUUACCAUGUAUAUUUCCAUUGUAUAAAUAAAUAUUUUUAUUGAUUAUAUAAAAUAUAAUUCUUUGGUUUGGAACUUAUUUUAGUUUAUAUAGACAUCAUGUGGAGUUUGACUCAAGAACUUUUAUGGUCGUACUUUUUAAUUUUCAAUUUCCUGAACGAGAAACUUUGAUUAUAUUUGACAUGUCUCUUUAUGAUGUAGUAUAUAGAUAAAUGUACAAGAGUCGGUAUUUAUUGGAUAUUUGGGUUCUUCCUUCUCUGCUUGGUGCUAGGGGUGUCAACGCGUUUCUUGUUUACCUAAUUACUCAAUGAACAAAGCCAAUAUUGUGUUCAUAUAUUAUUUUUUUUAAUUUUAAUUUUAAUUUUUAGUUUUUUUAUAGCUUUCUAAAAAAUCCCUAUUUGAAAUAAAAAACAUAGGAGUGAGAUGAAUGGAUAGAGAGAGAUCGCCCAAAAAGACCAAUGGAAGUAUAAAAUAGGUAUAGUUUUUUUUUUCUCCAAAAUAAAUGGCAUAUUUGCAUAAAAAAUAUAGAAGCAGUUACAUGGGUGUCGUAUGACUAAGUUUAAAUUGAAUUUUAGACGGAAGACUAACGAAUGGGGUGAUAGUGAUAAUUUUUGAUAGUUAAAAGGGCAUAAAUGAGCUAUUUUUUAAAUAAAGAAUUGAAAAUGAUAAGAAAUGAUAAUUUAAGAGGUAUAUAAUUAAGACAUUUAUUUUUUAUAUAAGCUUUUAAUGUACUUGAUAGUUGAUACCUAGUCGUAAACUAGAAUGGAUCUAACUUCUCUUUUCUCAUUCUUGACGUGAAGGAAUGCCCAUUUUAUUCCUCAACACACGAAAAAUAGACAAAUUUUUAUUGGUCUUUCUUUUAAAUUUUGUAAAAUAAAUUAUGCUAUUCAAGCCUAGCUAUUGUUCAACUUUCUUUAAAUUUCGUACGAAUCUGACUCAUUUAGUAAAUAAGUAAAUCUUAAUUCCAUGUUGCAAGCCAAAUAGCAGAUGAAAAUGACAAGUCUAUUCCAUUCCAUAUUCGAUUUCCAUUAUAGCAUGCAUUCUAUUCCAACUUAUUUGAUAUUUCUAGAUUACCAAACAUGGCCUUAAGGCUAGUUAUGGUUGAGAAGUGGCCACAAUAUGCAAUCUACGGCCUUGAGACAAGAAAGCAAAAACCUAUUGCUAUCAGUCUUGUGGAGAAAGGUGAUUAAGUGGGAUUUUGAGAAUGAAAUGGGGGGGAAAAAGAAAUUGGUUACCCAACAAAAAUUGAAAAUGGGGGACACUAUUUUUAGGUAAAAGGCCUAUUGGCAUAGUGGCCUCAAACAACGCAAAAUGACCCCACUACUUCUUUCUUUAAUUUCUAAAAGCAAUUAGAGAAGAAAAGAAGAUUGACCCUUGUUGCAUUUAGGGGCAGCCUUGGUUUUUUAGUAAAGUAUAUACCUAAAGAUGUUUGAGAAGUGGUGGAAGAAUGGAUUCAAAUGAAAUAACAU